AUUGCUUCUCGGCCUUUUGGCUAAGAUCAAGUGUAGUAUCUUUGGCUAAGAUCAAGUGUAGUAUCUGUUCUUAUCAGUUUCAUGCUGGGGGUAGGCGACGCCAGUGUGGAGCUGGUGGGGAUGGGUGUUGCAUGGUGAGGAAUCAGCUCGACGGCUACCCCGAUGUGACCUGUUUCCUCCAGGUCUC